GGACACUUUCUGAGAAAUGCGUCGUCAGGUGAUUUCGUCGUUGUGCGAACAUCACAAAGUGCACGUACACAAACCUAGUGGUAUAGCCCACUGCACACCUAGGCUUCAUGGGACUAAUCUUGUGGGACCACUGUCGAAUAUGCAGCCCACAGCUGACCAAAACAUUGUUCCGCGGCACAUGACCGUACUCUGUGAAUUGCCAGGUCACACCUUUUGUAUCUGAUUACUCCAGUCACCUGCCUCUCCAGGCCAAUGAAGAUGUUACUGUAGAGAUUUGUGCCUUCAUUUAACAAGGGUGUUUGCUGUGUGGGUCAAACAAGGGAAAGCAGUGACCUUCAGGAUCUUGGAGUGACUUGUGCCUUCUGGCGUUUACUGAAAUUGCAGGGCACUAAUUUUCCUUUAGAACCAGCCAUAUUUGUCCCUGGCCUUUUUCUGUUGGCCUGUACUGCCUUGAUCUGUGACCCCAAAACUCCUAAAGUCUACGAACCAAUUUAAUCUUUUUAAGAAGAGACAUUUAAAGUGGCCUUGAGGAAUGCUUUGGGCCUCAUUUUCUAUUUACGGAUUUCCAGUUUUCUGGGAAGGAGACUCAGCGUUUCUUUUGAAUGCAGCCUAUCUUCCUAUUUAGACUUCACAGUUCUCCAUCCGCAACCAGGAGCACUUGUGCCACCAGGAAUCUAAAUCAGCCUGCAAGUCUGUUCAACUAGCGUUGGCCUGAAACACAUCAGAUUUCCCAGCGUUCUUUCUGCUCAGCGUGAAUCCGCCCAGGCUCGCCCAGCCAGGGAGCACCAGAGCUGAAACACAGGCUCCCAACUCCUGGUCCAGUCUCUCUUUCCCUUCCAGCUGCCUCCUUUGCUAAUCUAAUUGGAAGGAGAAAUCCACUUAGAAGAUUCAUGUAUUAGUAAUUCUAGAAGUCACUUUAGUGAUCAUCCAUCACAAGGUAGGAAACCGAUUCUUAGAAGGAUGAAGUGACUUGCUUGGGGUCACAGGGCUAGUGGGUGGACACCAACCACAC
rnacentral:lncRNA from 1 species